GUCCAGACUCCUACGGGAGGCAGCAGUGGGGAAUAUUGCACAAUGGGGGAAACCCUGAUGCAGCAACGCCGCGUGAGUGAAGAAGUAUUUCGGUAUGUAAAGCUCUAUCAGCAGGGAAGAAAAUGACGGUACCUGAGUAAGAAGCCCCGGCUAACUACGGGCCAGCAGCCGCGGAAAUACGUAGGGGGCAAGCGUUAUCCGGAUUUACUGGGUGUAAAGGGAGCGUAGACGGCGAUGCAAGUCUGAAGUGAAAGCCCGGGGCUCAACCCCGGGACUGCUUUGGAAACUGUAUGGCUGGAGUGCUGGAGAGGCAAGCGGAAUUCCUAGUGUAGCGGUGAAAUGCGUAGAUAUUAGGAAGAACACCAGUGGCGAAGGCGGCUUGCUGGACAGUAACUGACGUUGAGGCUCGAAAGCGUGGGGAGCAAACAGGAUUAGAUACCCCCGUA
rnacentral:rRNA from 1 species